rnacentral:rRNA from 1 species
UACGAAGGGGGCUAGCGUUGCUCGGAAUCACUGGGCAUAAAGCGCACGUAGGCGGAUUGUUAAGUCAGGGGUGAAAUCCUGGAGCUCAACUCCAGAACUGCCUUUGAUACUGGCGAUCUUGAGUCCGGGAGAGGUGAGUGGAACUGCGAGUGUAGAGGUGAAAUUCGUAGAUAUUCGCAAGAACACCAGUGGCGAAGGCGGCUCACUGGCCCGGUACUGACGCUGAGGUGCGAAAGCGUGGGGAGCAAACAGG